rnacentral:rRNA from 1 species
UACGGAGGUGGCAAGCGUUGCUCGGAAUCACUGGGCGUAAAGGGCGCGUAGGCGGGGAGGUAAGUCGGGUGUGAAAUCCCUCGGCCCAACCGAGGAACUGCGCCCGAGACUGCUUCUCUUGAGUCCCGGAGAGGAAGAUGGAAUUCCCGGUGUAGCGGUGAAAUGUGUAGAGAUCGGGAGGAACACCGGUGGCGAAGGCGGUCUUCUGGACGGUGACUGACACUGAGGCGCGAAAGCGUGGGGAGCAAACGGG